CCCUCCCACCUCCAGGAUCCUGCCUUCUGUUCCUCCCACCCCCAUUCUCAGACCUCCUAACCCCCAUCCUAUCUGAGCCUGUCCUCUCUAUGCUGAUUCUCCGGGGGAGGGGCUUCUGUGCCUGCAGCCAGGUACCCGAGGAAAGGGACACAGAAAUCCUCCUUACAGCGCGUCAGACGGGGAUAGAGGGCGCGUCCGGUUGCCAUGGUAUUGGCGGCCGCUCCCUGAUGACGUAACUGGAAGACGCCGGAUCCCGAAGCCGGGCAGCGUCUUACACGAGUGCACACGGGGCUUCUUCCUUUGGUAUAAAGAUCAGCUCUCUCAACAUUCUCAACUAUUUUACAUGCCAUUUCUAAAGUGAUUGGAUCAUAUCCUUUUUUCUGGAACCAUGUAGACAUUUCAGUUGUUUGAGAGUCACAAAUACCUUUUUCUGCACAAUUUCUCUUACCUUCUAGCCAGUACAUGUGGUGCUAACUGCUUAUUCUGAUGUACCUAUUAGAGUCUCUUGGCUUUCUGGGAGAUUUGGUAUGUAUGACACAUUCUUUAAAUAAAUA